CAAGCUGUAUAGAACGAAUACGACCGUGAAGCUCUGAAAUUUGAGUUUUUAGUAACUUGCAAGACCAUAGUUUUGGGCUAUACGAUUUCCGAAUUUUCUCUCGUAUCAGAUAACCAGCGCACCACAUGCAAUGAAGAAGAGGAGCAGAUAUGCAAGAAGAAGGGAAAAUACUGCGACUUCAGCGCCGGCGUCGCUCUCUGCGUCGCCCCGAGACGCACAAAAUGUAACGAAGAGGAGAAGGCCGAAUGCCUGGAAAGGGGAUUGGAAUGUGAUUUCUCGCUCGGCGCAGCUCUGUGCGUCGACAAUGAGCGCACGGUGUGCAAUGAGGAAGAGACCGAAGUAUGCAACUUAAGGGACGAAGAGUGCGACUUCACUGCACACGCACCAUUUUGCAUAGAUCCAAAUCGUAGAGAUUGCAAUCAAGAGGAAAAGCAAAAGUGUCAAACCGUCGGCAAAGGGUGCGAUUUCGUAGACGGGGCCGCUUUGUGCUAUGG
rnacentral:lncRNA from 1 species